rnacentral:rRNA from 1 species
UACGAGAGGCCCAAACGUUAUUCGGAAUUACUGGGCUUAAAGAGUUCGUAGGCGGCAUUGCAAGUAGGGUGUGAAAGCCCUCGGCUCAACCGAGGAAUUGCGCUCUAAACUGCAGUGCUUGAGGAACCUAGAGGUGAGCAGAACAGAUGGUGGAGCGGUGAAAUGCGUUGAUAUCAUCUGGAAUACCGGAGGCGAAGGCGGCUCACUGGGAGUUUUCUGACGCUGAGGAAC